UACGGAGGGGGCUAGCGUUGUUCGGAAUUACUGGGCGUAAAGCGCACGUAGGCGGCUAUUCAAGUCAGAGGUGAAAGCCCAGGGCUCAACCCUGGAACUGCCUUUGAAACUAGAUAGCUAGAAUCUUGGAGAGGCGAGUGGAAUUCCGAGUGUAGAGGUGAAAUUCGUAGAUAUUCGGAAGAACACCAGUGGCGAAGGCGACUCGCUGGACAAGUAUUGACGCUGAGGUGCGAAAGCGUGGGGAGCAAACAGG
rnacentral:rRNA from 1 species